UCAGCACCCAAACCCAAAGCUCAUAUCUUUGAGAGGUAUGAUUUUUGUCUGGUGUGCAAACAGAAAACAGAUCCUUGUCGCCUUUCUCUGAUGCUGCAGUGCUGUUGAAAGUGAAUUAAAGGGAUGUCUUUGA